rnacentral:rRNA from 1 species
GACGAACGCUGGCGGCGUGCUUAACACAUGCAAGUCGAACGGUGAAGCGCUUUCCUUUUUGGUUGGUGUGGAUGAGUGGCGAACGGGUGAGUAACACGUGAGUAACCUGCCCCCUUCUUCUGGAUAACCGCAUGAAAGUGUGGCUAAUACGGGAUAUUCUGCGCCUGCUGCAUGGUGGGUGUGGGAAAGAUUGUGCCUUUGGGUGUUUUCGGUGGGGGAUGGGCUCGCGGCCUAUCAGCUUGUUGGUGGGGUGAUGGCCUACCAAGGCGGUGACGGGUAGCCGGCCUGAGGGGGUGGACGGUCACACUGGGACUGGGACACGGCCCAGACUGCUACGGGAGGGAGCAGUGGGGGAUAUUGCACAAUGGGCGCAAGCCUGAUGCAGCGACGCCGGGUGAGGGAGGGAGGCGUUCGGGUUGUGAACCUCUUUCGCCAGUGAAGCAGGCCUGCUCCUUGUGGGUGGGUUGACGGUAGCUGGAUAAGAAGCGCCGGCUAACUACGUG